rnacentral:rRNA from 1 species
CGAUCACGUUCAGAGUUUGAUCCUGGCUCAGGAUGAACGCUAGCUACAGGCUUAACACAUGCAAGUCGAGGGGCAGCAUGGGCUUAGCUUGCUAAGCCCGAUGGCGACCGGCGCACGGGUGAGUAACACGUAUCCAACCUUCCGGUAACUCCGGUAUAGCCUUUCGAAAGAAAGAUUAAUCCCGGAUAGUAUGGUGAUUCCGCAUGGUUUCUCCAUUAAAGGAUUCCGGUUACCGAUGGGGAUGCGUUCCAUUAGGCAGUUGGCGGGGUAACGGCCCACCAAACCUACGAUGGAUAGGGGUUCUGAGAGGAAGGUCCCCCACAUUGGAACUGAGACACGGUCCAA